AAUCCAUAGGUUAAUGAGGCGAACCGGGGGAACUGAAACAUCUAAGUACCCCGAGGAAAAGAAAUCAACCGAGAUUCCCCCAGUAGCGGCGAGCGAACGGGGAGGAGCCCAGAGCCUGAAUCAGCAUGUGUGUUAGUGGAAGCGUCUGGAAAGGCGCGCGAUACAGGGUGACAGCCCCGUACACAAAAGCGCAUGUGCUGUGAGCUCGAUGAGUAGGGCGGGACACGUGGUAUCCUGUCUGAAUAUGGGGGGACCAUCCUCCAAGGCUAAAUACUCCUGACUGACCGAUAGUGAACCAGUACCGUGAGGGAAAGGCGAAAAGAACCCCGGCGAGGGGAGUGAAAAAGAACCUGAAACCGUGUACGUACAAGCAGUGGGAGCCCCACCACCAAAGCAUUUGCUGUACCGCGUUGACGGAGCGAAGCGACGUCAAACCGAUAAAACAGCAGUGUAAAGUGAGCCGCAGGGCGCUUUGCGCGACAGCGCAAAGGCAGGCGGUUUCGCGUAGCGAAAGCGAAUGCUU
rnacentral:rRNA from 1 species